AAUAGAUACCCUGGUAGUCCAUGCCGUAAACGUUGGGCACUAGGUGUGGGGGCUCGUUCCACGGAGUUCCGUGCCGCAGCAAACGCAUUAAGUGCCCCGCCUGGGGAGUACGGCCGCAAGGCUAAAACUCAAAGGAAUUGACGGGGGCCCGCACAAGCGGCGGAGCAUGCUGAUUAAUUCGAUGCAACACGAAGAACCUUACCAAGGCUUGACAUAUACCGAAAACUCAUGGAGACAUGGGGUCCGCAAGGGCGGUAUACAGGUGGUGCAUGGUUGUCGUCAGCUCGUGUCGUGAGAUGUUGGGUUAAGUCCCGCAACGAGCGCAACCCUCGUCCUAUGUUGCCAGCGCGUUAUGGCGGGGACUCAUAGGAGACUGCCGGGGUCAACUCGGAGGAAGGUGGGGAUGAGGUCAAAUCAUCAUGCCCCUUAUGUCUUGGGCUUCAAGCAUGCUACAAUGGCCGGUACAAAGGGCUGCGAUACCGCAAGGUGGAGCGAAUCCCAAAAAGCCGGUCUCAGUUCGGA
rnacentral:rRNA from 1 species